UGAGCAGGAAAGCAGGGGAUCGCAAGACCUUGCGCUGAUUGAGCGGCCGAUAUCAGAUUAGCUAGUUGGUGAGGUAAAGGCUCACCAAGGCGACGAUCUGUAGCGGGUCUGAGAGGAUGAUCCGCCACACUGGAACUGAGACACGGUCCAGACUCCUACGGGAGGCAGCAGUGGGGAAUUUUGGACAAUGGGGGCAACCCUGAUCCAGCCAUGCCGCGUGAGUGAAGAAGGCCUUCGGGUUGUAAAGCUCUUUCGGCCGGGAAGAAAUCGCAUGGGUUAAUACCCUGUGCGGAUGACGGUACCGGCAUAAGAAGCACCGGCUAACUACGUGCCAGCAGCCGCGGUAAUACGUAGGGUGCGAGCGUUAAUCGGAAUUACUGGGCGUAAAGCGUGCGCAGGCGGUUUUUUAAGACAGGCGUGAAAUCCCCGGGCUCAACCUGGGAACUGCGCUUGUGACUGGAAGGCUAGAGUAUGGCAGAGGGGGGUGGAAUUCCACGUGUAGCAGUGAAAUGCGUAGAGAUGUGGAGGAACACCAAUGGCGAAGGCAGCCCCCUGGGUCAAUACUGACGCUCAUGCACGAAAGCGUGGGUAGCAAACAGGAUUAGAUACCCUGGUAGUCCACGCCCUAAACGAUGUCAACUAGGUGUUGGGUGGGUAAAACCAUUUAGUACCGGAGCUAACGCGUGAAGUUGACCGCCUGGGGAGUACGGCCGCAAGGUUAAAACUCAAAGGAAUUGACGGGGACCCGCACAAGCGGUGGAUGAUGUGGAUUAAUUCGAUGCAACGCGAAAAACCUUACCUACCCUUGACAUGUCCAGGAGCCUGAAGAGAUUUGGGUGUGCCCGAAAGGGAACUGGAACACAGGUGCUGCAUGGCUGUCGUCAGCUCGUGUCGUGAGAUGUUGGGUUAAGUCCCGCAACGAGCGCAACCCUUGUCGUUAAUUGCCAUCAUUCAGUUGGGCACUUUAACGAGACUGCCGGUGACAAACCGGAGGAAGGUGGGGAUAACGUCAAGUCCUCAUGGCCCUUAUGGGUAGGGCUUCACACGUCAUACAAUGGUCGGUACAAAGGGUUGCCAAGCCGCGAGGUGGAGCCAAUCCCAGAAAGCCGAUCGUAGUCCGGAUCGCAGGCUUCAACUCGCCUGCGUGAAGUCGGAAUCGCUAGUAAUCGUGGAUCAGCAUGUCACGGUGAAUACGUUCCCGGGUCUUGUACACACCGCCCGUCACACCAUGGGAGCGGGUUCCGCCAGAAGUAGGUAGCCUAACCGCAAGGAGGGCGCUUACCACAGCGGGGUCCGUGACUGGGGUGAAGUCGUAACAAGGUA
rnacentral:rRNA from 1 species